rnacentral:rRNA from 1 species
AAAGGAAUAGACGGGGGCCCGCACAAGCGGUGGAGCACGUGGUUUAAUUCGAUGCAAACCGAAGAACCUUACCUGGGUUUGACAUGUUAGUGGUAAAAGGCUGAAAGGCUGAUGACUUAAUCUUCGGGUUAAGAGCUAACACAGGUGCUGCAUGGCUGUCGUCAGCUCGUGUCGUGAGAUGUUGGGUCAAGUCCCGCAACGAGCGCAACCCUUGCAUUUAGUUGCUACCGAGUAAAGUCGAGCACUCUAGAUGGACUGCCGCCGAUUAAGGUGGAGGAAGGUGGGGACGACGUCAAGUCAUCAUGGCCCUUAUGUCCAGGGCGACACACGUGCUACAAUGGCCGGUACAGAGGGAAGCAAACCUGAGAAGGAAAGCAGAUCCCAGAAAGCCGGUCGCAGUUCGGAUUGAGGUCUGCAACUCGACCUCAUGAAGCUGGAAUCGCUAGUAAUCGCAGAUCAGCCAAGCUGCGGUGAAUACGUUCCCGGGCCUUGUACACACCGCCCGU